CCUACGGGAGGCAGCAGUGGGGAAUAUUGGACAAUGGGCGAAAGCCUGAUCCAGCAAUUCCGCGUGUGUGAAGAAGGCCUUCGGGUUGUAAAGCACUUUAGGUUGGGAAGAAAAAGCUUCGGUGAAUAUCCGGAGUGUUGACGGUACCAACAGAAUAAGCACCGGCUAACUCUGUGCCAGCAGCCGCGGUAAUACAGAGGGUGCAAGCGUUAAUCGGAUUUACUGGGCGUAAAGCGUGCGCAGGUGGUUUCGUAAGUCGGAUGUGAAAGCCCCGGGCUCAACCUGGGAACUGCGUUCGAUACUGCGAGACUAGAGUUUGGUAGAGGGUGGCGGAAUCCCGGUGUAGCGGUGAAAUGCGUAGAUAUCGGGAGGAACAUCAAUGGCGAAGGCAGCCACCUGGGCCUGAACUGACACUGAGGCACGAAAGCGUGGGUAGCAAACAGGAUUAGAUGCCCUGGUAGUCCACGCCGUAAACGAUGAGAACUUGACGUUGGUUCGUUUUACGAAUCGGUGUCGUAGCUAACGCGAUAAGUUCUCCGCCUGGGGNGGUACGGCGCGAGUAGAACGACAANAGAGUAGUACGCGNGAGAGCGCGACGACGACGACGAGGGAGGAGG
rnacentral:rRNA from 1 species